rnacentral:lncRNA from 1 species
AGUAGUUUCGGUAGCAGCACUCACUCAGCACAGAGAAAUGGUUCCUGCAAUCCUACUGCUGCUCUAGGAGCAUUCUCUACGGCAGCAUUUCAUGACAAGAAGAUUGUUCCUGAGAGCCACCGGGGAAAAGCCAUCACUGCCGA